rnacentral:rRNA from 1 species
UACGUAGGGGGCUAGCGUUGUCCGGAAUCAUUGGGCGUAAAGAGCGUGUAGGCGGUCCGGUAAGUCCGCUGUGAAAGUCGGGGGCUCAACCCUCGAAUGCCGGUGGAUACUGUCGGGCUAGAGUGCGGAAGAGGCGAGUGGAAUUCCUGGUGUAGCGGUGAAAUGCGCAGAUAUCAGGAGGAACACCGGUGGCGAAGGCGGUUCUCUGGGCAUGAUCUGACGCUGAGGAAGCGGAAGGCCAGGGGAGCAAACGGG